UGGGGAAUAUUGGACAAUGGGCGCAAGCCUGAUCCAGCCAUGCCGCGUGGGUGAUGAAGGCCCUAGGGUUGUAAAGCCCUUUCGGCGGGGAAGAUAAUGACGGUACCCGCAGAAGAAGCCCCGGCUAACUUCGUGCCAGCAGCCGCGGUAAUACGAAGGGGGCUAGCGUUGCUCGGAAUCACUGGGCGUAAAGCGCACGUAGGCGGAUUGCUAAGUCAGGGGUGAAAUCCUGGAGCUCAACUCCAGAACUGCCUUUGAUACUGGCGAUCUUGAGUCCGGGAGAGGUGAGUGGAACUGCGAGUGUAGAGGUGAAAUUCGUAGAUAUUCGCAAGAACACCAGUGGCGAAGGCGGCUCACUGGCCCGGUACUGACGCUGAGGUGCGAAAGCGUGGGGAGCAAACA
rnacentral:rRNA from 1 species